rnacentral:rRNA from 1 species
UUGACAUCCAGAGAACUUGGCAGAGAUGCCUCGGUGCCUUCGGGAACUCUGAGACAGGUGCUGCAUGGCUGUCGUCAGCUCGUGUUGUGAAAUGUUGGGUUAAGUCCGCAACGAGCGCAACCCCUAUCCUUUGUUGCCAGCGAUUCGGUCGGGAACUCAAAGGAGACUGCCGGUGAUAAACCGGAGGAAGGUGGGGAUGACGUCAAGUCAUCAUGGCCCUUACGAGUAGGGCUACACACGUGCUACAAUGGCGUAUACAAAGAGAAGCGACCUCGCGAGAGCAAGCGGACCUCAUAAAGUACGUCGUAGUCCGGAUUGGAGUCUGCAACUCGACUCCAUGAAGUCGGAAUCGCUAGUAAUCGUAGAUCAGAAUGCUACGGUCGAAUACGUUCCCGGGCCUUGUACACACCGCCCGUCACACCAUGGGAGUGGGUUGCAAAAGAAGUAGAUAGCUUAACCUUCGGGAGGGCGUUUACCACUUUGUGAUUCAUGACUGGGGUGAAGUCGUAACAAGGUAAGCGUAGCGAG